GACGAACGCUGGCGGCGUGCCUAAUACAUGCAAGUCGAGCGCAGGAAAUCGACGGAACCCUUCGGGGGGAAGUCGACGGAAUGAGCGGCGGACGGGUGAGUAACACGUAAAGAACCUGCCCUCAGGUCUGGGAUAACCACGAGAAAUCGGGGCUAAUACCGGAUGGGUCAUCGGACCGCAUGGUCCGAGGAUGAAAGGCGCUUCAGCGUCGCCUGGGGAUGGCUUUGCGGUGCAUUAGCUAGUUGGUGGGGUAAUGGCCGACCAAGGCGACGAUGCAUAGCCGACCUGCGAGGGUGAGCGGCCAACCUGGGACUGAGACACGGCCCAGACUCCUACGGGAGGCAGCAGUAGGGAAUCUUCCACAAUGGACGAAAGUCUGAUGGAGCAACGCCGCGUGAACGAUGAAGGCCUUCGGGUCGUAAAGUUCUGUUGUAAGGGAAGAACAAGUGCCGCAGGCAAUGGCGGCACCUUGACGGUACCUUGCGAGAAAGCCACGGCUAACUACGUGCCAGCCGCCGCCGUAA
rnacentral:rRNA from 1 species